AAUAAAUAAAAAAUUUAAAAAAGAACCCACACUGGCAAAAUGUAAUAUAUUAAGAAAUGCUUUACAAGGGAAAUGCCUCUUAACCUCUGUCCAAUUUGAGAUCAUUUGCAUCCAUGACUAUCAUAGGCAAUGAAAAUAAAAUAAUAAAACUGAAGCCCUAGGGGUCUCCCUAAGCAUCCUUUGGUCCCUCCCCAAAGUGAUGCUUAUCUUAGGCAAAGAAAUCAUAGAAUUAGGUGCCAGUAGCAGCAAAGGAGAGUGAAUUCAAGAGUUCAGCCACUGCCCUAUAAAAUGUAGGCAGCUUCCACCUGAGCACAGCACUUCAGGACACCCUAAUGUCUCCUGUUUUUGGACGAAUGGACUUCUGAAGAUCUUGCAUAAAGCAACUCAAGUAAUUUCCCCGUAACAAAUCUGUAUUUGUUACCUCCUAUAGGAGGUGGUGGCUUCAUGAACAGGGUUGGUGCAUUUACCUUGAGCCAGACCACUUAGUUUACCUUAAUUGUCUUCCUACUAACAGAGGGAACUGAAGGAAGUUACUGACCUUCUGUUUGCCUUAGAUUCCUCAGCUGUAAGAUGAAGAUGAUGAUGACGUUCAAUAUCUUAUCUGAUUCUUCCAACAGUCCCUUGAGGUAACCACUAUCCCUACCACAUUCAGUUGUUGGGAGGAUCAAAGAAGUUAAUAUGUGCAAAGUGGUUAGAGAGGUGCUGGCACAUGGGCCUGUUUAUCUCUUAAAUACAGCCCUGCCCACAGCUGUAAGGAACAUGAAUAUGCUUAUGGUAAACACUCAGGAAAAUGCAGAAGAUAGAACGCAGAAAGAAUUGAACGUGCUAUUAUAUCACCCAAAGACCACCAUUGUUAAAAUUUUAGCAUAUGUCCUCCGAGACUUCUUUCUGAAGUAUAUGAUUUUGUUGUCUAUGUUUGCUUUACAUACCUGUGACCAAUUAUAUACACAAUUCAAUCUUCCUUUUUUCCUCCUAAUAUUAUUAACAUCUGCUAUCUCAUGCAAUUAGAAAGUUCA
rnacentral:lncRNA from 1 species